rnacentral:lncRNA from 1 species
AUGCCGUUGUACGGGUUACAUAAUCGCCCAUUUGAAGGCGCUACAAAAACUGCUCGCUCUCUAGCGGCGCUCGUCAACAUGUCAACUCACAACAAAACAAUCGUAGCGCCGCGCCGGCUACUGGAAACUGGAAAUCUUGUUGUGUCCUCGCUUGUGAGUUUUUAUUUCACAAUAUUCACAUUUGUACUUCUGGAAAGUUUCUUUAUUAACCCACGACUAAACACUAGAGUGGACAAACCUGUUAUUUCUAUUUCAUACCUUACUUACUUCAUUCGCGUUGGUUCAAUCACAAUGGCAGCAACAUCAAUCGUAAAUGUGACAAGCUCCCAAUAGUCAAGGUAUCUUCGUCUGCGAUUACGUUGAAUUGGAACCGAUAAAUCCCAACAAGAAAUAAUUUCUCGUAAAUGUUUGCCUGCUGUUUUGUACCAAAUUUAAUUAUUUUUAAGAGUGUUUCAAAGAUUUUCAAAAACUGUUUAACUACCUACAAGUAUUCAUUUAUUUUGUUCCUAUGAUUACUACUACAUUUUAAAUACUGAGUAUGAAUAAAGCUUCUUUUGUUCUUGAAAUUUUGUUUUCAACGUAUGUUUUUCCAAUCGUACUGUGUGUUUAGUUCCAUGGAGAAUGGAGAUAGGUACCAAUGCAUAUCAUGUGUAAAAAAGGAUUCGUACAAAUAAGUAUUCUCUUUUAAAAGCUAAAACCAUGCCCUUUUCAAAGAAAGCUGGUUGACAGCAGUUCAGUUUUGAAUUACGUAUGUAAGUAAUGUCCUUUUGAAUCUCUCUGAAAAAAUUUUAUACCUAACUCUUUACGUAUAAAAUGAGUCAUCUACAGCCAUACAAGUAGGUGUCAAAUUGCAAUGCCAUGCAACAUGAAAGAAUUGCAACAUUUUGAGAAAAAAUACUGUUCAUUGAGACUUGCAACGUCUUGAUGCAAUCGUGUUUUCAUGGCUUUGAAUGUUGUUUUUAAUGACUAAUUUUCAUCGUAAAAUUUAGGAUAUUGAAAGGAAACACCUGUUUUUUUAUCCAUCCUAGUGGUUUUCGAUCAUAGGUACGCAUGUUUUUUCUGCUUUCCUCAAGGACAACAGAAAAACAUAUCGCUUCCCCUUUCAGCAGUGGAUGAAAUGAGUCCUGAAUUAACUCUCUUGAGGACGUUGAAAGAAAAUUUACAAUGGACCAUCCAACGUUUCCAGCUUGUAAAAAUGUAUUAUCUACUUUUCCUGACAACAGUACUUAAAACAUACACAAUUGAACAAAAAUUCGCUGAUUUUUCAACUAUUCAUGAGUAGAUGAAAAACCAAAAUCAAUUGAUCCUCGUUUAAAUCUGAACAAAUCAAUUUUUUUCAUAAUGUUUUAAGUAGCUAUCCUCGUGAAAAGUAGAAAAGAUAUUUGCAUAAGCUGGAAAGGUUGGAUGGUCCAUGGCAAAUUUUCGUUCAACGUCCUCGAGGGAGUUAAUUCAGGGCUCAUUUCAUCCACUGUUGGAAAGGGAGGGAGGACUGAUAACACUUUUAUAACGAUGUCCACACAAUAUUCUGGGAAUAUUUUGCGGAUUUUACAAAUAUCCUGAGGUCAUCCUGACAGUAUUCUGUGGACUUUUCUAGUAUUUUUUUCAAAUAUCCCUAGAAUGUUCACACAAUAUUUUGGGGAUUUUCAAAUAUCCCCAGGAUAUUCUGGGGAUUUCGUUUUGUCUCACGAAAAUGUUCUGAGAAUGUUGUGAGAAUAUUCCGGAAUAUUCUCACAACAUUGUCAGAACAUUUUGAUUUGCCUCGAAAUAUUAUCAGAACGUUCACAGAAUAUUAGGCUGCUAACUGGGCCAUGGGUGUUAUUUCAAAAUGAAACCGGCUUUUAAUUCUCGUCCAAAUUCGAGAAUGAAUUUGAACUAAGGGCUCCAUCCGAGUUUCACACAUAGAGUUCGUCUAUCUUCAAGGUUAAACUUCAAUAAUAAUAAUUAAAACUGCUAACUGUACUGCAACAUCACCACGAUCAUUCUCCAGCGCAGCUAAUAGCGAAAAUUAAAUUCCGGACUCAGCCUCUGGAUUUGUCACCCUUCAAAAUCCGGAUUUUUAGGUUAAGCUAUAACCAAUCAGAAAUUCAGACAGACGAACAGUCAGUCAACGUCGCAUUAGGCACAUUUACCGGGAGGCGCAAUUUCGCGGACCUGGUGUGAUGACUGGUGACGGGUUAGGCGCAUUUUCCGUUAGGCGCAAUUUACGGAGGCGCAAUUAUGUGCGCCCAUUUUCAUUUCAUCCUUUUAUUUACAUCGACAAAGGAAGCUUUUGUUCUUUUACCUCCAAGUUGCACCUGUCAACAUUGUUUAGAUUUUGAGAGUAAACCGUUGAAUUGUUGUGUUGAAAUAUUAGGUUAUGUUUGAGCAGUGACCGUUCAGAGACACAACUUGUUUCUAAUUUUUUCUUUUCUCAUCUAAGAAUUGUUUAAUGAAACAUGUUAAAUAUUUUGCAGUAUGGAAGUGACAGUGACGAGGAGUCGACUGAAAAGGUCGAGGAAAAAGCGAAAACCAUUUUUGAAGAGGCCACUCUUCAUCUCAAAGAACCAGUAUCAACAUCGAUGCAGCUAUGUGCAGCUCCUGAAGUUGUACCCACGGUUAGUUACAGUGUUUUUCAACUUGUAAAUUUAAAUUCUGUCAUUUAGAAUAAUCUAUUACGCACAAAAUUCAUUUCAUAAUCUGCUCUUCUUGGACUU